GCUGGAGGUGUGGCUCAGGGGUAAAGCCCUUGCCUAGCUUGCAGGAGACCCCAGGUUUGAUUCCUAGCAAGCA
rnacentral:tRNA from 1 species